rnacentral:rRNA from 1 species
ACUCAAAUGAAUUGACGGGGACCCGCACAAGCGGUGGAGCGUGUUGUUUAAUUCGAUGGUAAGCGAAGAACCUUACCCAGGCUUGACAUCUUUGGAAGCACUGCGAAAGCAGAGUGUGCCUUAGGGAGCCAAAUGACAGGUGUUGCAUGGCCGUCGUCAGCUCGUGUCGUGAGAUGUUAGGUUAAGUCCUUUAACGAGCGCAACCCUUUUGAGUAGUUGUAUUUCUCUACUCAGACUGCCCUGGUAACAGGGAGGAAGGAGGGGAUGAGGUCAGGUCAGUAUUACCCUUAUGCCUGGGGCUACAAACACGCUACAAUGGCCGGUACAAAGGGCAGCCAACCCGCAAGGGGGAGCUAAUCCCAUCAAAGCCGGUCUCAGUUCGGAUAGCAGGCUGAAACUCGCCUGCUUGAAGCUGGAAUCGCUAGUAAUGGUAGGUCAGCACACUACCGUGAAUACGUUCCCGGGUCUUGUACACACCGCCCGU